CAAGUACGCUGCGCGGUAGGCCUAUACUUGCAUGUCGUACGGCAGCACUGGAGAGCUUGCUCUCUGGGUGGCGAGUGGCGGACGGGUGAGGAAUACAUCGGAAUCUACUUUUUCGUGGGGGAUAACGUAGGGAAACUUACGCUAAUACCGCAUACGACCUACGGGUGAAAGCAGGGGACCUUCGGGCCUUGCGCGAUUGAAUGAGCCGAUGUCGGAUUAGCUAGUUGGCGGGGUAAAGGCCCACCAAGGCGACGAUCCGUAGCUGGUCUGAGAGGAUGAUCAGCCACACUGGAACUGAGACACGGUCCAGACUCCUACGGGAGGCAGCAGUGGGGAAUAUUGGACAAUGGGCGCAAGCCUGAUCCAGCCAUACCGCGUGGGUGAAGAAGGCCUUCGGGUUGUAAAGCCCUUUUGUUGGGAAAGAAAUCCAGCUGGCUAAUACCCGGUUGGGAUGACGGUACCCAAAGAAUAAGCACCGGCUAACUUCGUGCCAGCAGCCGCGGUAAUACGAAGGGUGCAAGCGUUACUCGGAAUUACUGGGCGUAAAGCGUGCGUAGGUGGUCGUUUAAGUCCGUUGUGAAAGCCCUGGGCUCACCUGGGAACUGCAGUGGAUACUGGGCGACUAGAGUGUGGUAGAGGGUAGCGGAAUUCCUGGUGUAGCAGUGAAAUGCGUAGAGAUCAGGAGGAACAUCCAUGGCGAAGGCAGCUACCUGGACCAACACUGACACUGAGGCACGAAAGCGUGGGGGAGCAACAGGAUAAGAUACCCUGGU
rnacentral:rRNA from 1 species